UGGUUAGAUCACCGAAGUCAAGCAUCAUUGGGCGCGGUCAGUACUUGGGUAGGUGACCACCUGGAAACACCGC
rnacentral:rRNA from 1 species